CCGGCGACCGGCGCACGGGUGAGUAACACGUAUGAAACCUGCCCGUAGCAGGGGGAUAAGCGGAAGAAAUUCCGUCUAAUACCGCGUAACAACCCAUGGAGGCAUCUCUGUGGGCUUAAAGGAAGCGAUUCCGGCUACGGAUGGUCAUGCGUUGCAUUAGCUUGUUGGCGGGGUAACGGCCCACCAAGGCGACGAUGCGUAGGGGUUCUGAGAGGAAGGUCCCCCACACUGGUACUGAGACACGGACCAGACUCCUACGGGAGGCAGCAG
rnacentral:rRNA from 1 species